rnacentral:rRNA from 1 species
AGAGUUUGAUCCUGGCUCAGAACGAACGCUGGCGGCAGGCCUAACACAUGCAAGUCGAGCGAGACCUUCGGGUCUAGCGGCGGACGGGUGAGUAACGCGUGGGAACGUGCCCUUUGGUACGGAAUAGCCCCGGGAAACUGGGAGUAAUACCGUAUAAGCUCUUCGGAGGAAAGAUUUAUCGCCAAAGGAUCGGCCCGCGUUGGAUUAGGUAGUUGGUGGGGUAAUGGCCUACCAAGCCGACGAUCCAUAGCUGGUUUGAGAGGAUGAUCAGCCACACUGGGACUGAGACACGGCCCAGACUCCUACGGGAGGCAGCAGUGGGGAAUCUUAGACAAUGGGCGCAAGCCUGAUCUAGCCAUGCCGCGUGAGCGAUGAAGGCCUUAGGGUUGUAAAGCUCUUUCAGUGGGGAAGAUAAUGACUGUACCCACAGAAGAAGCCCCGGCUAACUCCGUGCCAGCAGCCGCGGUAAUACGGAGGGGGCUAGCGUUGUUCGGAAUUACUGGGCGUAAAGCGCACGUAGGCGGAUUAGAAAGUCAGAGGUGAAAUCCCAGGG